AGAAUCAACGCUGGCGGCGUGCCUAACACAUGCAAGUCGAACGAGAAAGUGGAGCAAUCCAUGAGUAAAGUGGCGACCGGGUGAGUAACACGUGACUAACCUACCUUCGAGUGGGGGAUAACCUCGGGAAACCGAGGCUAAUACCGCAUAACAUCGCAAGAUCAAAGCAGCAAUGCGCUGGAAGAGAGGGUCGCGGCUGAUUAGCUAGUUGGCGGGUAACGGCCCACCAAGGCGAAGAUCGGUA
rnacentral:rRNA from 1 species